rnacentral:rRNA from 1 species
GACGAACGCUGGCGGCGUGCUUAACACAUGCAAGUCGAACGGAAAGGCCCUGCUUUUGUGGGGUGCUCGAGUGGCGAACGGGUGAGUAACACGUGAGUAACCUGCCCUUGACUUUGGGAUAACUUCAGGAAACUGGGGCUAAUACCGGAUAGGAGCUCCUGCUGCAUGGUGGGGGUUGGAAAGUUUCGGCGGUUGGGGAUGGACUCGCGGCUUAUCAGCUUGUUGGUGGGGUAGUGGCUUACCAAGGCUUUGACGGGUAGCCGGCCUGAGAGGGUGACCGGCCACAUUGGGACUGAGAUACGGCCCAGACUCCUACGGGAGGCAGCAGUGGGGAAUAUUGCACAAUGGGCGGAAGCCUGAUGCAGCAACGCCGCGUGUGGGAUGACGGCCUUCGGGUUGUAAACCGCUUUCGCCUGUGACGAAGCGUGAGUGACGGUAAUGGGUAAAGAGGCACCGGCUAACUACGUG